GCCAUCCAUCGAACUGAACGCACCUUGAAAGUCUGAAACAGGCUUUCUCUCGUCUCCGACCUCUCUCUGCCGUCCAUCGAUCGCCGCCUCCGUUUCCUGUGGCCACGCCCCGCCUUGCCUCCUCGGAGCCUCCGUCCCAGCACCGCAAGAAGCAGCUAGCAGCAGUGCGCGAUUGCGCCGCGCCACCGCCCUCGACCAGCCUUCCCCGUCGCGUCACCCUGCCCCGCCUCGGCGCCUCCGUCCGGAGACUCCGAAGCAACAGCAUUUCCAUCGCCCAAGUUCCCAACAGCAGGUAAGGUGGCUAUUAGGGUGUUUUGGAAAUUGGAAGGUUGAUUUUUGUUUUUUGUGUUUUUGCUAUUUGAAUUGGAAGUAGCGCGUUUGAAUCCAAUUUUCCGCUGCUUAUUGUGCUUGUAGUAUCAAGAUGAACCCCGGCAAUCUUAAUCUAUGGCGAAUGAAAUCCCUAAUUCUCGAAGAAAUGCUGAAAGGCCUGAGAAAUUACAGCACGAAAUCACGUCGGAUGGUGGAUUUGAGGAAGCUCAGGCCUAUGAUACUGAAGCGAAUUGAGCAACGUGCUGAGGAUUAUCCUGUCAAACCCAUACUUCCGGUGGCGCGUGAAGUCCUCCGUGCCCGAAGCGCCCUCUACAGUGGAGUGUCAACUCUCAUCCGCCACAUUCCGGUCUGGGCUUGCAAAUACUGCCCAGAAGCUUAUAUAGGUGAAGGUGGUCAUUUGAUUCAAACUUGCCAUGGCUACCGGCGCCAUGGGACGAAAAAGGUCCAUGAAUGGGUAAAUGGGAGUGUAGACGACAUUAUAGUCCCUGUGGAAUCUUUUCACUUGCAUAAAAUGUUUCAGAACAUAAUCAAACAUCACGAAAGAUUCGAUCAUCAACGUGUUCCUGCAGUCGUGGAGCUCUGCCUGCAGGCAGGGGUAGAUGCCAAUGAUCCAAGCGUUACCUCUAGUGUGAUAACUCCAGCCAACAAUGAAGAUAACUGUAGCAGCUCCCAGUCGUUAUCAGACGAUGAUUUGAGAUUGAUAGGUCGACAAACUCUGGAUGCAUGGGAGAAGCUUCGAUCUGGAGUCCACAAGUUAUUGUUUGUCUACCCAGCAAGAGUCUGUAAACACUGUUCUGAAGUCCAUGUAGGGCCAUCGGGGCACAAGGCUCGGAUGUGUGGGGUGUUCAAGUACGAGAGCUGGCAUGGGACUCACUUCUGGAAGAAAGCGAGGGUAGACGACUUGGUUCCUCCUAAAACAGUCUGGUCCAGACGUCGCCAAGAUCCGCCUAUACUCGUUGAUCGAGGACGCGAUUAUUAUGGCCAUGCGCCCGCUGUUGUGGAUCUUUGCAGUAAGGCUGGUGCACUGGUGCCAUGUAAAUACUUUACCAUGAUGAAAAUGGAUGGCUUGACUGCUCCUGUUUGAAUCCAAUCAUCUUGGUUUGUGAAGAUGCAAGCAAGAAUGGACUUCUUCUCUCUAGUCAGUAGUCUAGAGAUUGAUCACCUUAGUUCCAAAACUGUAGUUGGUGUUAGUUUCUGUAUAGCUUCAAUUAGAGCUAUCAAAAUUCGGGUUGUCAGGUUAAACUAAAGGAAUGGCAGCAGACUGCUGGUGCAGUUGGGUCAGCUGUCGCCUGUCAGAGCAUUGUUGGAUCCGCGGAGAGCUGAUUGGAUAGCUGCUCUUGGGGAGACAACUGGAAAGCCUGCAUUUGAAAGGGUUCUUGAGAGAAUGAAGAGGAGUCGAGAGGGCAGUCAGUUGUUGCAAAAGUGGCUGGCUAUGUUUUUUUAUCUCUUUUAGGUUCAUGGAAAUUAGGAGAUUAAUGCCUUUUAGGUUCAAGUGAUUUUUGGUAUCCUUGACUACAAAUCUUGUUGUUGCAGGGAAUUUGUUCUACCAGCCUAAUAUGAGCGCCAUUUUGAUGAGCUCCUCCUCCCCCACUACGUGCAGCCUCAAAUCGGCAUGUGCUACAUUGUAUACCAUAAUUUUACUGUGUUGUGAUGGAUAUGGUGCACCAAGGUACUACACUAUGCUGCUACUGCAUUUACAUGCUAAAUACAUCUGUAUCUAAAUUUUUAUCAUUAAUUUUAGUUUCUUUUCUUUA